rnacentral:rRNA from 1 species
AUUGAACGCUGGCGGCAUGCCUUACACAUGCAAGUCGAACGGUAACAGGUCUUCGGAUGCUGACGAGUGGCGAACGGGUGAGUAAUACAUCGGAACGUGCCUAGUAGGGGGGGAUAACUACUCGAAAGAGUGGCUAAUACCGCAUGAGAUCUACGGAUGAAAGCAGAGGAUCGCAAGACCUUGUGCUACUAGAGCGGCCGAUGGCAGAUUAGGUAGUUGGUGGGAUAAAAGCUUACCAAGCCGACGAUCUGUAGCUGGUCUGAGAGGACGAUCAGCCACACUGGGACUGAGACACGGCCCAGACUCCUACGGGAGGCAGCAGUGGGGAAUUUUGGACAAUGGGCGCAAGCCUGAUCCAGCAAUGCCGCGUGCAGGAUGAAGGCCUUCGGGUUGUAAACUGCUUUUGUACGGAACGAAAAGCCCUGGGUUAAUACCUUGGGGUCAUGACGGUACCGUAAGAAUAAGCACCGGCUAACUACGUGCCAGCCGCCGCGGUAA